rnacentral:rRNA from 1 species
UACGUAGGGUGCGAGCGUUGUCCGGAAUUACUGGGCGUAAAGAGCUCGUAGGUGGUUUGUCGCGUUGUUCGUGAAAACCUGAGGCUUAACCUUGGGCGUGCGGGCGAUACGGGCAGACUGGAGUACUGCAGGGGAGACUGGAAGUUCCUGGUGUAGCGGUGGAAUGCGCAGAUAUCAGGAGAAACACCGGUGGCGAAGGCGGGUCUCUGGGCCGUAACUGGACGCUGAGGAGCGAAAGCAUGGGGAGCGAACAGG